UUAAAAAGCUCGUAGUUGAAUUUCGGGAUUAGUACGCUGGUCGUGCCUUCGGUACGUACUGGUGUUACUGAUUUCUACCUUCUGACGAACCAUCAUGUCAUUAAUUUGGUGUGGUGGGGAAUCAGGACUGUUACUUUGAAAAAAUUAGAGUGUUUAAAGCAGGCUCGCGCUUGAAUACAUUAGCAUGGAAUAAUGAAAUAGGACGUUGAUCCUAUUUUGUUGGUUUCUAGGAUUGACGUAAUGAUUAAUAGGGAUAGUUGGGGG
rnacentral:rRNA from 1 species